AAAAGAAAGUAUUUAACAAUUAUAAAACAGAGCCGUAAAUGGGAACACGAGAGAAAAGAGAAGAAACACUUUCUUUAAAUUGGUUGGCUCUUGUUUACCAGUUCCAUUUCACAUUGUGAUAAACUGACGACCUUUCAACGUGUGUUUGUUUCUUGUAAAGAAGCGAUAAUAAAUAUGAAACAAUACAUUUCCUUGAUUCUUUUGCUGUGUGGGGCAGUUCUCAUUGCUACAGUAACUAAUGUGGAGGCAACACUCUGCUAUGAUAGCAUGACUAACUGUAAUGCUGCCUGUGGAGGAAGUGAUGAGCAUUGUAGCCAGUACUCGUGUACUACCUGGACUGCCAGCUGUAUUGUAUGCAACUGUGACCUACCAAAUUUUCAAACAUAAUACACCAGCACCAAUGGAAUCUCCUUAUUGCUCAUUCCCAAUAAAGACCACUGUAAUUGAAAGACUUGGAUAAAAGAUAUUUUUAAUGUUUUAUUUUUCAAUGUCAUCAUGAUUUACAAAAAUAUGUGCAAAUUUUUCCCAGCGAGAAAAAAAAAUUAAAGAGAGUAUACUGAAUUUUUUUUUUUUUAUCAACUUAAUUUUUGCUGAUUAAACAAGUUAUCAACUUG